rnacentral:rRNA from 1 species
GACGAACGCUGGCGGCGUGCUUAACACAUGCAAGUCGAACGAAGAGCGACGGAAGCUUGCUUCUAUCAAUCUUAGUGGCGUACGGGUGAGUAACGCGUAAUCAACCUGCCCUUCAGAGGGGGACAACAGUUGGAAACGACUGCUAAUACCGCAUACGAUCUAAUCUCGGCAUCGAGGAUGGAUGAAAGGUGGCCUCUACAUGUAAGCUAUCACUGAAGGAGGGGAGUGCGUCUGAUUAGCUAGUUGGAGGGGUAACGGCCCACCAAGGCGAUGAUCAGGAGCCGGUCUGGGGGGAUGGACGGCCACAUUGGGACUGAGACACGGCCCAGACUCCUACGGGAGGCAGCAGUGGGGAAUCUUCCGCAAUGGACGGAAGUCUGACGGAGCAACGCCGCGUGGGGGAUGACGGCCUUCGGGUUGUAAAGCUCUGUUAAUCGGGACGAAAGGCCUUCUUGCGAAUAGUGAGAAGGAUUGACGGUACCGGAAGAGAAAGCCACGGCUAACUACGUG